rnacentral:lncRNA from 1 species
GUCGAGGGUAACGCUCAUAGAGAAAUGCAUGUCGAGGUAUACGCUCAUAGAGAAAUUGAAGUUCUCGAAUAGUUGACAUAUGACAAAGACACUAUUUGAAUGUUGAAGAUUAUAAAUCGACUUCAAUGGACUUUUUAGACACAAGGCUGCUGUUACAUGGCUGUACAUUUAUUUUUAUCCAUUUUCUCUAAUGACUACUUACGAAUAUUCGAUAUAUUAUCGAACAUGCAAACUUAAUCCUUUGCAAACUAUAAUUUGAUGUGUGUUUUAAAUAUAUUUAUCAAAUUUUUGAGCAUAUUAACGUGCUUGCUUUUAUAUGUUAAUGACAAACAGUACAAUACUAUAAGUACAAUUUGGUAUUUAUACUGUCUUGUUCUAUGUUGACAACAUGUAUUAAUUGAUUUUAAAAGUUCACAAACAUUAGGAUUAUAGGAUAACAAAAUAUAUUAAAUUGAAGAAAAACUUGAAAGUACAAAAUUUCGUAUAAUAUAUAUCUGUCAAAUAUUGAUUUGCAAAAUAAUUAACAAUCAUUUCAUGAAAUAAUGAAAUUAACGUAACUAAUUACACAGCCUUUAGGGCUUAUUCCCUCAAUACAUUUCUCAUUUUUGAUCCCCAAGUGCUAUAUAUUUGAACAUGAUUUCGUCAUCCUAAACGCAAUACAAACACAGAAGAUCUGAUGAUAAACAUCCUAUAGGUUGCAUUUCUGUAAAUAUUGACAAUGCAAUUUCCCAUAGAACUCCUUUCCGGCUAAACUGUACCACUUUUACUAUAUGAAGUUUGACAAAAAAUCUUAUCCUAGAAUUGAAAGUUCUAUGCACCACAAUUUUCAAGGUCAAAAUAUAGGGCUGUGCGGCAUAUUUCAACGUUUAUAUGCCCUGAACUUCUCAGAGUUUAAACUUACACUAAUUUUUUAACUACCCUACCUCGAAUGAAGGUUACCCAGAUUUCAAUGUAACACUAUGCACGUGUUUAUUUACUGGUACAUUCCCAAGUUCUGUCUCUGCGAUAUGGAACACAGAGAGCAUAACUGGGAACCAGUAUGUAAACAAAAUUAAUUUUCUAUGAAUAUUCUAUUACUCUCCAAAAGAGGCGUGUUUUGAGAAACAGCUGUAUUUACAAAGUGCAACCUAUACAGACAUUUAUUCAAAUAGAAAACUCUCUAAAAUCAGUUUUUCUCACAUUAAUACUCAUUUAUCAGAAUUAAAGUCUUAAAGAAAUCACUGUGUAUACUCUAAGUUUUCUUUACUAACUUUUAUACCCCCCCCUUUUCAAUUUUUUAAAGAAUUGAAAACAAGACUUUAAUUAUUGCAGCUAACCCUUUUUUGAUAUUUUCUGAUAAAAAUGCCUAGAACCUGUUAAAAACUGUUUGAUAACAUAUUGAAAGCAUAUCAGAAUAUCAGAAAUGUAAUGUUUAGCAAUCAAUCAUUACAACAUUCAAGAUUAUAAAGUAUCCAAUCCACCUCUAUCUCCAUCCACAUCUUACUGUAUGCCUAUUUGUCAAUUAAAGAACAAUUUUCUGCCUCAAAUGGUCAAUUUAGAAUUCUUGUCACAACAGUUCAUCUGUAACCAUAUAUCUGACACAAUUUAGCUACUAAUAUAUAAUAGAAGUGUUCAAACAAAACCUAUUUGCAAUAGUUGUAUGCAUGCAGAUACCAGUCUGAGAUAUAAAUUCACUUAAAAUUUGUAUAGAUGCUGGCUAACAUCUGAUUUUGCAUAACUACAAGCAUAGUUAUUGUUUCUAUAUUCAAGAACUUUAAAAUCAUAAAUAAUAGAUUACAAGUUAAAUUAUUUGUUUUAUGACCCAGGGGGUAGGCAUUUUCUAUGUUUUUUGUCCUGGCCUCAAAUUUUCUAAAUCUUCUGCUGUUUCUAGCAAUUUGGAAUAUUUAGUACAUAUUCAGGAAUAGACACACUAUUGUAAGUUUUCUUGAGAUAUUUUUGUUUUUUCUAGCUUGUAUUUAUUAUUCCGUGGUGACAAAAAUGCAGAUUAGGUUUGCGGCUUACUUUUGUUAUCGAGGACACAAAUACCCCACAUAAUAUUCAGAAGGUCUAUGAGUUUUCAAUGACUGCGAAGAGUAAUAUAAGCAACUUCUUAACUUUACUUACAAAUAUGCAAAUAUUAAUGAUUAAUUUUGUAUCCAGGACUUUAAGUAACUAUGCAUACGUAAACUGUGAAUUUAUGGCUGAGAAUCAUAUUUAGCCAGGAUUUUAUCAUCUUCAUAAAUUUUAUAAAACUUCUUAUUUGAGUUAAUUUCUUAAAAUCUAGUGAAAUAAAGCCAAUUUUGGUUUAAUUCUGAAUGUCCCUUUUUCACCCUAUGAUAGGUUGCAUUUCUGUAAAUAUUGACAAGGCAAUUUCCCAUAGGAACUCCUUUUACGGCUAAAAAUGUACCACUUAUGAAUUUUUGAAAAAAUCUUACCUAAUUGAAAGUUCAUAUGCCACAAUUUUUUCAAAGGUCAAAUAAUGGCUGUGCGGCAUUUCAACGUUUAAUACUGAAAUUCUCAGAGUUUAAUUACACAAUUUUCUUAACUCCCUCUCGAAUAAAGGUUACCACAGAUUUCAAUGUAAACAAUAUGCAACGUGUUUAUUUACUGGUAACAUUCCAAGUUCUGUCUCUGCGAUAUGGAACACAGAGUGCAUAACUGGGAACAGUAUGUAAACAAAAUUAAUUUUCUAUGAAUAUUCUAUUACUCCCCAAAAGAGGCGUGUUUUGAGAAACAGCUGUAUUUACAAAGUGCAACCUAUAGAUAACUACUCGUUAGUCUGUCAAAGUAAUUUCAGGUGAAAUACUUCGCAUGGUCAUUCUGUAUUACUCUUCGCCCAUAAACAUAUGAUAAGU